UCAAUCCAUGUUUUUCCUUUUGAGGUUAAAAUCGGACCCUCCAUCUCUGUGGGUUUCUGAGAUGUGCUGAGCUGAGGGAGGACCCGAGCACCCACGACCACUUCCGUUAACGGUCAAGUGCAGUCUCCUGGUGUCUUCUACGCUUUCUUCAAUGUGCAUAUCUACUUCAGUAAUCAGGGGAAAAUAAAAAUAGAAAGUUAAAGAAGAAAGUGAACCAUGUGGAGGAGCACUGGCUAGAAGGCCCUCUUCUGAUUAGUGGCUCUCUCUGAGUCUCUCUCACAUGCCUCUUCAGAGAGUCUUUUUCAUCUGUGAUGUGGAAAUUAAAUAUUCAUUGUUAUAAAAAA